rnacentral:piRNA from 1 species
UGCAGGUGGAAGUUGGUAGAUGUUC